GACAGACACACUCCACGGAGAAUUAUCCACGGAAAGGAAUUAAAGAAAGGUGCUUGGCCUGUACAUCUGUGUGUUGCAUGUAUGCAGUGACUGUAGAGGCCAGAAGAAGCCGUCAGAACCCUUGAAACCCGAGUUAAUGAAAGUGUCGAGCUCCAGGGUAAUCCUAAAGUCCCUCCAUACCAUCAAGCAAAAUAUCCUAAAACUUCGUCUUAAAAACAAAAAACCGGGAAAUGCCACACCCACUCCAGUAGAGUCUGUGUGAUAUGAAGCCCUUGUGCGUCGUUUCUAUCCAGAACAGAGGCUUGUGCCUGGAAUGGCUCGGCCUCCCGGAGGUCCUGGCCGUCUCCCUACAAAUAGAUGGUGACUAGGGCCUAUGCUUGCAGUGGAGGGGCCUUCUGUGUUCUAGCCUUGGUGAUCUUAGCAACUUUAAGCCUGUCAACAAUGUCUGAUUUUAAGAAUAUAGCAGUGUGGGAAGAUGGUCA
rnacentral:lncRNA from 1 species